UCUGGAGGCUGGGAAGUCCAAGAUCAAGGUACCAAGUAGGUUCAAUGUCUGGACUACAUGUAUUUUGAAUUCUGGUCAUAAGAAUCAGCCUGAGAGACUAUGCCAGAGACUACUGGCAUUAAGUUUUGCCAACCCUCAGCAAAAUUAAACAAUUUUUACUGAAAAUAUCUAAAUAAAGUUUUGCUUCCUUUAAAUUA